GGGGUGAACCUGCGGAAGGAUCAUUG
rnacentral:rRNA from 1 species